rnacentral:rRNA from 1 species
UACGUAGGUGGCAAGCGUUGUCCGGAAUUAUUGGGCGUAAAGCGCGCGCAGGUGGUUUCUUAAGUCUGAUGUGAAAGCCCACGGCUCAACCGUGGAGGGUCAUUGGAAACUGGGGGACUUGGGUGCAGGAGAGAAGAGUGGAAUUCCACGGUGUAGCGGUGAAAUGCGUAGAGAUGUGGAGGAACACCAGUGGCGAAGGC